rnacentral:rRNA from 1 species
UACGAAGGGGGCUAGCGUUGUUCGGAAUCACUGGGCGUAAAGCGCACGUAGGCGGAUCUUUAAGUCAGGGGUGAAAUCCCAGAGCUCAACUCUGGAACUGCCUUUGAUACUGAAAGUCUUGAGUAUGGGAGAGGUGAGUGGAACUGCGAGUGUAGAGGUGAAAUUCGUAGAUAUUCGCAAGAACACCAGUGGCGAAGGCGGCUCACUGGCCCAUAACUGACGCUGAGGCACGAAAGCGUGGGGAGCAAACAGG